rnacentral:tRNA from 1 species
GGCAAGAUGGCCGAGUGGUUAAGGCGUUGGAUUUAGGUCCUGGUGAAAGCCCAGCAUUUUAUCUCCAAUCCGAAAGGGCGAGGGUUCGAAUCCCUCUCUUGUCA